rnacentral:rRNA from 1 species
GGUUACUGCUAUCGGUGUUCGCCUAAGCCAUGCGAGUCAUAUGUUCGUAAGAACAUGGCGUACUGCUCAGUAACACGUGGAUAACCUGCCCUUGGGUCCGGCAUAAUCCCGGGAAACUGGGGAUAAUUCCGGAUAACGCACAUAUGCUGGAAUGCUUUAUGCGUAAAAUGGAUUCGUCUGCCCAAGGAUGGGUCUGCGGCCUAUCAGGUAGUAGUGGGUGUAAUGUACCUACUAGCCUACGACGGGUACGGGUUGUGAGAGCAAGAGCCCGGAGAUGGAUUCUGAGACAUGAAUCCAGGCCCUACGGGGCGCAGCAGGCGCGAAAACUUUACAAUGCGGGAAACCGUGAUAAGGGGACACCGAGUGCCAGCAUCCUAUGCUGGCUGUCCGGGUGUGUAAAAUACACCUGUUAGCAAGGGCCGGGCAAGACCGGUGCCAGCCGCCGCGGUAACACCGGCGGCCCGAGUGGUGAUCGUGAUUAUUGGGUCUAAAGGGUCCGUAGCCGGUUUGGUCAGUCCUCCGGGAAAUCUGACAGCUUAACUGUUAGGCUUUCGGAGGAUACUGCCAGACUUGGAACCGGGAGAGGUAAGAGGUACUACAGGGGUAGGAGUGAAAUCUUGUAAUCCCUGUGGGACCACCUGUGGCGAAGGCGUCUUACCAGAACGGGUUCGACGGUGAGGGACGAAAGCUGGGGGCACGAACCGGAUUAGAUACCCGGGUAGUCCCAGCCGUAAACGAUGCUCGCUAGGUGUCAGGCAUGGCGCGACCGUGUCUGGUGCCGCAGGGAAGCCGUGAAGCGAGCCACCUGGGAAGUACGGCCGCAAGGCUGAAACUUAA